UACGGAGGGUGCAAGCGUUAUCCGGAUUCACUGGGUUUAAAGGGUGCGUAGGCGGGUUGGUAAGUCAGUGGUGAAAUCUUCAAGCUUAACUUGGAAACUGCCGUUGAUACUAUCAAUCUUGAAUGUUGUGGAGGUAAGCGGAAUAUGUCAUGUAGCGGUGAAAUGCUUAGAUAUGACAUAGAACACCGAUAGCGAAGGCAGCUUGCUACACAAUAAUAGACGCUGAGGCACGAAAGCGUGGGGAUCAAACAGG
rnacentral:rRNA from 1 species